ensembl:snoRNA small nucleolar RNA SNORD47
GACCUGUGAUUACUAUAUUUUGCCAGAUGACAUGCAUGAUUAUAGCCUUACCGUUCCAUUUUCUUUCUGAGGUC